ensembl:lncRNA
AUGCUAAAGGCGCUUGAAGCAAAAAAAAAUAAAACAGCUUUGAUGACCCAUCGCUGGGAAACUGCAUCUCCCAAGAUGCAACAGGGCUGGGUGUGGCCUUCCUCCCCGCAGCAUCAGCACCAGCUGGGUAGCAUCCUCCAGAGAGAGACAGAGAGAGAGAGAGAGAGAGAAUGCAGGUGCCCAGCAGAAGAACGGCUAUUCCUGGAAUAUCUCCGGCCUGCCCAGAAAAUCUGCCCUGCAGCCAUCCGAAGCGAUUUCUCCCCAGCUCCGAUCAUCUGGAGUUUCAAGGCCUUGGCAGGAUCUGCAGAGACAGGAAGGGCCGGCUUCUGGACCAUCGCCUCCCGGACCGCUCUCGAGGUUCCCCGCGAGACGCCCCCCCAAAACCUGCAAACUUUUUUUUUUCCAAGCAAGGUUUGAAGUUCGGGGUGUGCGCCGCCUCGUCCUCCAGACGCGGGUGGCGCCUCCCGACCCAGCAUCCUUCCAGUCGUCCGACUCAAGGGUCGGUUCCUGCACAGUCAGGGUGAUUGGCUGCCGACGAGAGAGACCCGUCGGAGAAGGUGGAUCUGAUUUACUGGACGUCUCUUCCUCCUUCCUUUCCCUCUGCCCCUCUGCCAGAGGCAGCAGCUGGGCAUGCCUGUGGGCACCGGCUGUGGUACCGGGAAGGGCCGCCCUUACUUCUCUGGAAUCGGUUUGAUUUUUCUUUUCUCUCUGCCGGAAAGGAAAGGAUCGGCUGGAUUUCCUCCCUCCUGCCAUUCCCUGGCAUCACCACCUCCUUUCUUGUAGGAGCUUCUCCCUUGAUCCAUGGCUCCCCCAGAAGCACCAGUGCGGACCCCUUGCUUAUAACUCCCUGGUCCCAGAAGAAGAAUGAGGCUGAUCUGGAGGAGCGGAGAACCCCUUUCCUGCAUCGUCUAUCGCCUCUCUCCCCCAUCGUCUAUCGCCCCUCCGAAGCUCGUGGGCCUGCUUUCAAGCAGCUAGCACCAUCGUCCAAAGGGUCAAGGCGAGCCGUUUCCACCGACGGGCUCGGCUUUCCCUCCGAUUUCUGAAAGGGCCGGCCGUCUCUGGCUUUUUAUUUUUCCUUGCGGGAGACGUAUUUCGCACUCGUACCUGUGAGAGCUCGAACGUGACCUUCCACGAGAUGGAUUUCACAUGGAAGCCAUGGGGAGCCGUUUGGUUUUUCGGCUGAGGAUGGGGGUCUCUGCCUCCUCCGGCUGGCGCCUUCCACGAGAUUCCUUCUGAUCAUUUCCUACGAUCCUCGCUUUUUAACAUUUUUGAUGCAUGAGGCCAUAACGGGGCGCUUUCUCAGCUUUUGCUCCCGCUGGCUUGGCCUCGUGGUGGAGCGAAGCGCAGAAAUCCAGGGACUGGACUUGAUGAUUUAGGAGACCCCUUCUAGCUCUGCAGUUCUUAAGAGGAUGAUGGGGAUUCUCUAACCUGGGAAAACAGCUUUUGAGGGAGAUAAGCCAAAAUAUUUGACCUUUUCUCCCCUUCCAGAGUCAUACACUAUUCCUUCUCAGGUGGCUGAAUUUUAAAAUAUCAGAAACGCUGGCGCCAAACCCUCCUUGCUACUUUCUCACCUCCAAUUCCUUCCUUCCGAUUCUAAGCUUCCGCUUUCCGUGAAAGGGAGGGCGCUCUGCGCGCGUUCAGAGGCACCCUUUGCUCGGCCGCCUGGGACACUGCCCCUGCUCGAGCAACGCCACGGCGUGGUCUCAAACCGAACACCCACGCUCCUAUCCUCCGCGCACAGAUGCAGCGUGGGUUUUGUGGGUUAAAACGAAGACAAAGAUGAACACCAGCCAACGCAAGGCACAACCACCCAAUAAACACUGAAACAUUUGCUAUAUAUAUUUUGAA